AUCAUGAAUAAACAUCUACUUUAGUUUUUGAAUGUGUGAGAUAUAGUCACUAUAGUCUAUGCACGUAUCAAAAUGUAUUUGUCCUUUUACAUAUACCAAAGAACAAAUAAAUUUUGUUAUUUUGAAACAAUUAUUUCUUUUUUACCUAUAAUAUCCUUAAUAAAUUACUCUCAUUUAUCCAUUUCAUCUCUUCAAUAAAUACUUAAGAGUGUUUUUGAUAAAGCAAUAGCAUAUGCUGCAUUGAAAUUUGAUAAUGAUAAGUAAAUAGAAACUUUUCUAUAAAAGCUACAAAUAAUAAGGAAAAGAGGGAGUAGGACAUAGUUAAUUUCUUAGUCCUAGACAUUAUCACUGGGCUUCCUACCUAUUCAUCGAUAAAAUGAGGUCUAAUGGGCCUCAAUCACAUGGUGAUUGAAAAUUGCUCUUUAGCACCUAUGGUUUGCUCACAUGAAUCUCGAUUGAGCUACAAAACUAAAAAAAUAUGAAUUUCAUUGAAAUUUUUGUUUGUGCAGUUUCUUGAUUUGGAUUAAGGUUGUUUAGUUGUUGGUUUAUGCUUGAUUUUUGGUGGUAAUGAAUUGUUUUCUAGAGUUGUAAACUUGUACGUAAUUCUUAACUGCAAUUUGCUAGUUAACUACCAUAACAAACAAUAUGUAAUCAUGGAGGUAUAGUUAACUACCAUUCACGAUAAAUCUUGUAUUUACACACACUUAAAUAUAGGUCUAUUCUUGGGACGACAAUUGACUAUUAUUUAGAAGCAAACAAUAGUUAAUCGUCGUUGGGAUAUUUUCAUCAAUUCGAGGUACCUAUGAUGCCUAAAGAGCAAUUUUCAAUGGGAGUUAACACCAAAUUAGGCGUACAAUUGCCUCGACGCCAAGAGGUUUUCUUUUUUUGGUAGAGCUCGACGCCAAGAGCCGGCGAAGCAAAAGAAUCAAAGACAAACAUCGAGGUAGAUGGCAAAGUACGUUGGUCAGGCGGAAGAGCAACAUGGCGAAGCGGAAGUGGAAAUCAAAACGAGGGUCACAAUUCUAUCAUAAACUAUUCUGACAA